rnacentral:misc_RNA from 1 species
UUUGUGUCGUCUCAAGAAUCAAAAGUAGAAUAAAAAAGUGAUUGUAAAAUUACAACAUAUGGCCGGCGCAGUGCGGUGGACAGUAGACUUCACACGAUAAAUUUAUAAUGGAGCUCACAUUUUCUGAUAAUCCUCUGACUGACUAGAGAAACCCGUGGGGCACUGUGUUUGAGCAUUGACUGCCUGCUGCUUUAUCUGUCCAUGGAAGAAAAAUACAGAACUUAUAUCAUCUUUCUCAUGCUAACCCACAAAGGAUCGCUGGGUCAAGCACCCCCACCUAACAAUUACAGAUUGAAUGGCUAUUAGCUUUGGUAAAUGGUAAUUAGUUAAAGACAACAGAACAGCUACAGGAAAGUACAAGUUCUAUACUGUAGUUCUAUUUAUUAUUUAAUUUUCUUUUAUUCUUUGUUUGAUUUUUUCUUGCCCUUUGUCGUUUGUGUUCAAGAUCCAGAUUCCUGCAAUAGACAUAUAGGUCUCUAAAUUCUAAGGUUGGUUUUAG